rnacentral:rRNA from 1 species
AACUACAUGCUAGUGUAUGUAGCUUUUUCUGCUCAGUGAAAAUUUAAAUAGCCGCAGUACCCUGACUGUGCAAAGGUAACAUAAUCAAUUGGCUUAUAAUUGAAGUCUAGAAUGAACGAAUUUACGGGCAGUAGCUGUCUUAGGAAUAGUAUAGUGAAUUUAAUUAUCAAGUGCAAAUGCUUGCAGUAUUAAAAAAGACGAGAAGACCCUAGAAACUUUCUAUUUUGUUGGGGCGACAGGAUUGCAACUAACCAGUCUUAUUAUACGGGACGUAUAGCAGCAAGACGAAGUUACUCUAGGGAUAACAGCAUAAUUUUAUAUAGUUUGUGACCUCGAUGUUGGACUAGGAAAGCAAGCUCUUAGAAGGCCCUUGUAUAUGCUCUGUUCGAGCAGUUUCUCCUAC